rnacentral:lncRNA from 1 species
AGGACAUCCCACGGUGGGAGCACGAUGGGUGACCCCACUCAUGCAGCUCACAGGGCUGAACUAGGGGCCUUUGUUUCUGCUGCCAGUACGGACCCCGAGCAGCAAAGGAGGCUGAUCAAUAGGAACACGGUGUUUGCAUGGAUCAUACAUGCGAAGAGCACGUUCCCGGAUCAAUGCUGAGGUCUCGCAGAAGGAGAGGAAAGGAAAGGGGAAAAAAAAAAAAAGGAAAAAGAGAAGAAAA